AUUGAACGCUGGCGGCAUGCCUUACACAUGCAAGUCGAACGGUAACAGGUCUUCGGACGCUGACGAGUGGCGAACGGGUGAGUAAUACAUCGGAACGUGCCCAGUCGUGGGGGAUAACUACUCGAAAGAGUAGCUAAUACCGCAUACGAUCUGAGGAUGAAAGCGGGGGACCUUCGGGCCUCGCGCGAUUGGAGCGGCCGAUGGCAGAUUAGGUAGUUGGUGGGAUAAAAGCUUACCAAGCCGACGAUCUGUAGCUGGUCUGAGAGGACGACCAGCCACACUGGGACUGAGACACGGCCCAGACUCCUACGGGAGGCAGCAGUGGGGAAUUUUGGACAAUGGGCGAAAGCCUGAUCCAGCAAUGCCGCGUGCAGGAUGAAGGCCUUCGGGUUGUAAACUGCUUUUGUACGGAACGAAAAAGCUUCUCCUAAUACGAGAGGCCCAUGACGGUACCGUAAGAAUAAGCACCGGCUAACUACGUGCCAGCCGCCGCGGUAAUAC
rnacentral:rRNA from 1 species